rnacentral:rRNA from 1 species
AUUGAACGCUGGCGGCAUGCUUUACACAUGCAAGUCGAACGGCAGCGCGGUCUUCGGCCUGGCGGCGAGUGGCGAACGGGUGAGUAAUACAUCGGAACGUGCCCAGUAGUGGGGGAUAGCUCGGCGAAAGCCGGAUUAAUACCGCAUACGACCUGAGGGUGAAAGCGGGGGAUCUUCGGACCUCGCGCUAUUGGAGCGGCCGAUGGCAGAUUAGCUAGUUGGCGGGGUAAAGGCCUACCAAGGCGACGAUCUGUAGCUGGUCUGAGAGGACGACCAGCCACACUGGGACUGAGACACGGCCCAGACUCCUACGGGAGGCAGCAGUGGGGAAUUUUGGACAAUGGGCGAAAGCCUGAUCCAGCAAUGCCGCGUGUGUGAUGAAGGCCUUCGGGUUGUAAAGCCCUUUUGGCGGGAACGAAAAGGACUGUGCCAAUACCACGGUUCGAUGACGGUACCCGCAGAAUAAGCACCGGCUAACUACGUG